AUUGAACGCUGGCGGCAUGCUUUACACAUGCAAGUCGAACGGCAGCGCGGAGAAGCUUGCUUCUCUGUCGGCGAGUGUCGCACGGGUGAGUAUAGUAUCGCAACGUGCCAAGUAGCGGGGGAUAACCAAACGAAAGUUUGGCUAUUACCGCGUAAGCUCUAAGGAGGAGAGUAGGGGACCUAAUUAAGGCCUUACGCUUUUUGAUCGGCGGAUGUCGGAUUAGCUAGUUGGUGGGGUAAUGGCUCACCAAGGCAAGGAUCCGUAGCGGUUCUGAGAGGACGAUCGGCCACACUGGGACUGAGACACGGCCCAGACUCCUACGGGAGGCAGCAGUGGGGAAUAUUGGACAAUGGGGGAAAGCCUGAUCCAGCCAUGCCGCGUGUAUGAAGAAGGCCUUAGGGUUGUAAAGUACUUUUGUUAGGGAAGAAAAGCUAGUUUUUAAUAAAAAUUAGUGAUGACGGUACCUAAAGAAUAAGCACCGGCUAACUACGUG
rnacentral:rRNA from 1 species